rnacentral:misc_RNA from 1 species
GGGCGGCAAGGUAGCAAAGGCAGACAGGAUCAAGCGCCUAGUGCCGAUUUUCGAGCAGAAGCGUCUUUGGUUGCCGGAGACGUUGCAUGUGACGAACUACGAGGGCGAGGUCAGGGAUUUGGUCAAGGACUU